rnacentral:lncRNA from 1 species
UAGGCUUCUGCAACAGUUCCCUAUCUGAAGGGCAGCCUGCCAACACGGUAUCUUUUCCUGCAGAGGUAGGAGACCACGUCUAGCACCUGACUGCUUCUACACUGACCAAGGCAAGGCUGGAGGAGAAGGGAAAAGGGAUAGGAGUUCACAGCCUGCAGUAGAAAUCCCUACUCAAACACCACUCUGAACCUGACGACUUGCAAGUUUAACAGGCUGCAGAGUAUAGGAUCAGUUACAAGAGGACUUUCCCUUCUGCCCAGUCCCUGUAUUCCCCAGUUCGUGGAGGAAAGGAAGAAAGGCUCCCACUACAAGGAAGCAGAACACCACCCUUACACAAGACAUAAGAACUGCCCACCCACUGCAGACUGGACAGAGACUCCCCACCUGUUUCUUGCAGGCCAUUGCACAGCCACCAAACAAAGCCAAUGCUUCCAACAACCACAGAGAAGUUCAUCUUUAAAAGCUGAAGAGAUUUUGCUUGACUGACCGAAAUAAAACGAAUUGGCUUCAAGAGGUAACA